rnacentral:rRNA from 1 species
UUAUCUAGAGAGACCACAGGGAUUGCCCCAGUAACGGCGAGUGAAGCGGCAACAGCUCAAAUUUGAAAUCUGGCCCCCCCCCCCGCGGGGACCGAUUUUUUGUUUACGAAGGAUGCUUUUGGCGCGCUUCCUUCCGACUUCCCUGGAACGGGACUCCAUAGAGGGAGACACCCCCGUCUGGACGGAUACCUACCCUCUGUAUCCUUCCUUCAACCAAUCAAGUAGUUUGGGAUGGCUGCUCUGAAUGGGAGGUGUAUGCCUUCUAUAGCUAAAUAUUGGACACAGACCGAUAGCGCACAAAUAGAUUGAUCGAAAAAUGAAAAUUUCUUUGAAAAGAGGGUUAAACCGUACGUGAAAUUGUUGAAAGGGAAUUGCUUGCGAACAGACUUGGGCGGGAUCAUCCGUCCGUCUCUCUCGCCGGCUCCCUCCGCCCCGCCCCGGCCUCAAUUCGCUGCGGGGGAGAAAGAAAGCGGCAACGAGCGUCGCCCCCCAGGGAUAUUUAUCGGCCGGCAAUGCACGGCGCGGGACUGACGGUCGCUCGUCCGUCCGGAUGGUGGCUGAAUGAACGCCAACGACCGAUCCUGAUUGACGCACCGACCAAUCAUCCUCCUACGCAUGCGAUCGGUCGGCUGACCCCUACCCACGCUGAAAGAGAACGCACGUGAGAGACACACUCUGCAUCAUCGAUCGAUCCAGAUGUUCGUCUCAUGGAUGUUGAUUAAGAACAUAACAUACGGCGGACGCCACACAGAAAAGAAGAGCUAUCUCUGCGUGUGGUGGAAUGCCAGCCGGAAGGCAUCUGUCUGAUGCACGCCGCGAGUUCUGUAUCUGUAGCGAUGUCCAAUCGAUUCAGAUCCAAUAGAAUGAGUGGCAGU